rnacentral:rRNA from 1 species
AUUGAACGCUGGCGGCAGGCCUAAAACAUGCAAGUCGAACGAGUGGCGGACGGGUGAGUAAUGUCUGGGAACCUGCCUGAUGGAGGGGGAUAACUACUGGAAACGGUAGCUAAUACCGCAUACCAUCAGAUGUGCCCAGCUGGGAUUAGCUAGUCGGUGGGGUAAAGGCAUACCAAGGCGAAGAUCCGUAACUGGUCUGAGAGGAUGAUCAGGCACACGGGAACUGAGACACGGUCCAGACUCCUACGGGAGGCAGCAGUGGGGAAUAUUGCACAAUGGGCGCAAGCCUGAUGCAGCCAUGCCGCGUGUAUGAAGAAGGCCUUCGGGUGGUAAAGUACUUUCGGCGGGGAGGCGUUACCCGCAGAAGAAGCAGCGGGUAACUCCGUGCCAGCAGCCGCGGUAAUAC